rnacentral:rRNA from 1 species
UACAUGGGGUGCAAACGUUGCUCGGAAUUAUUGGGCGUAAAGCGCACGUAGGCGGUUCGUUAAGUCGGAUGUGAAAGCCCUCGGCUCAACUGAGGAAGUGCACCCGAAACUGGCGAGCUUGAGUACGAAAGAGGAUCGCGGAAUUCCCGGUGUAGAGGUGAAAUUCGUAGAUAUCGGGAGGAACACCGGUGGCGAAGGCGGCGAUCUGGGUCGAUACUGACGCUGAGGCGCGAAAAGCGUGGGGGAGCAAACAGG